rnacentral:lncRNA from 1 species
UUUUUGAAAAAAUUUUAAUGUAAUUACUUUGAUCUCUGGAAUCGAUCCUCAAAAAUAUUUCGUAAAUGUAUUAACAAUUUAUGCUGGAAAUAAGAUUCAUUUAAAGAACUCCAUUUAAAAAAAAAAGUUGAUACGAUUGUCGGAUGAUUCUCUUUAUAACAAAUAACUUUUAUUCGACAAAUUUUUCUCUUACUCUUAUAAUUUUUGAAGAUAAUUCAAAUGUUUAUUUAUUUAUUUAUUUUGGAUCUCCCUGUGUAAUUAUACUUUUUUACAUAAAAAUUAGGAGGAAAAAAAAAAUAUAAAAAAAAAAGAGACAUCACAACAUUGAAGAUAUUGACGUUUCUGAAUAUUCCGUAUCUGUGUUCUCCUGGAUUAAAUGAAAGUACACCGCUAUUAUCUACUUUCAUUUGGAUGAAAUGGAAGGCAAAGUUGCCUUUUGUGAUGCAUAAAAGAGUUAGAUGCGACGCGAGAUCCGGCGCUUGAUAUUAAAGUAUUAAUGCCGCGUAACACCGUUUCCAUCCCCGUCCGAGGGAUAUUUUAAUAUAAACGGGGGAUUUAGAUAUUUCACUUUGACAAAUUCUCGACCUCCAACUGCUCAAAGGAAAUUGAAGCUAGCCAACGACUGCAGUAGGGCCGUGUACACGCGAUGCGGCUGGUUAUUUUAUGUUUACAGAUGACUCGACAUCCCAUAAUAAAUAUCGUUGCCCGGUCCACAAAUCUUCGGUGCAUCGCAUUUGUCCCCGUUUCUUUUUUCUUAUUCAUGAAACCGCGCCGGACGUCCUCUCCUUUUACGUAUCUUGGCGCCGUUGGCCACCGUCCCGCCUUAACAUUAUGAAAAUCUCAAUAACAUCGAGAGAAAUAUAGCUUUACCUCAUCCCUUUGAAAGCGUUCUCUCCGACCGAGGUAUCGAUUAAACGGUUGAUAGCAAUUUCCUGCAGACGGCGAGCCGAUUCGUUAACACGAAAAUAUGAUACGGAUUUUAUUAGCGCGUGAAAUGGAAGCGAUUUUGUUUCUCGCGCGGUGGCACACUUUUUUCACCGGUGCUCGCGCGAUUAACGCCGUGGUCCGCGUAUCGUUUUGCGUUGUUACACGGCGCGGAACAGCUGGCCGAAGAGUUCAAUUUUUGUCGUGGCGGAACGGGCGACGAUUUAAUGAAAACACAGGCGGUCGUAUUUCCAUGGGGAAAAAAACCUUCGACCAAGAACAAUUCCACCGUCACCUGGUGAACGUGUACACCAUCGCGACCGAACGAAUGGGAUAAGAAACGAGCCGACAACCGGAAGAUAGAUUUCGAGAUAAAAAAUGGUUGCACGUUCAACGCUCGUGUUUAUCAGGGCUGGCCGCUUAUCAAUCACGUUACACGGGAAUGAUCCAAGCGACGUCAUCGUUCGAGAGAAGGAGGAAACUUGCUCCAUCCUCUGUGACCGCGUUAAGGGAAUCAGGGGGUAUCUACUAUGGCGGAGUAAAUCAACCGGUAUCCAGAAUUGACGCGGAGCAUCGAGGGAGGCAGCUGACGGUGACGCUGCGGAACGAAAUGAUUGGCGUAUCGGCUCGCCCGUGGGACCGAUUCCGCCGGCUAGGGCCAAAUGGAUCGUCGAUUUUUCCCUGACUACCUCUGGGAACUGGACGGCUGGAAGGGAAGUCGUAGAAACGGAUAGGAACAGCGGAGGCAGAGAUUUGAAGCGAUCUCUCUCUCUCUCUUUUUCUCGUUCGCCUGAAAAUCAGAUUACGAUACGUCAGUCGUCGUUAAAUAGAUAGAGAUCAUACUCCAUUAUGGAACGAGCGAUUAAACGAUCAAUUGGUUGAAUUCUUCGCCACGAACCGAUAAACUUUAUCGAGAUGCGUAAUAUUUUUUUAAAUCUAUUUGUUUUUUCCGUUGAAAUGAUUUUCACAGACACAUUUAUUUUAUUAUUAGACACUUCUAGGAAGUUGGGCAAGAAAAUAAAUUGUUAAAUUGAUUUCGCAGCAGAGAUUUAUCUGGAAUUUACGUGAAUAAACAAGUUAAUUAGAUUGCGAAUAAGUAAAUCGCGUAAAUUGAAAAAUUUUU